CCUACGGGAGGCAGCAGUAGGGAAUAUUGCUCAAUGGGGGAAACCCUGAAGCAGCAAUGCCGCGUGGAGGAUGAAGGUUUUCGGAUUGUAAACUCCUUUUGUUAGAGAAGAUAAUGACGAUAUCUAACUACUAAGCACAGGCUAACUCCGUGCCAGCAGCCGCGGUAAUACGGAGGGUGCAAGCGUUACUCGGAUUCACUAGGCGUAAGGGGCGUGUAGGCGGGUUAGCAAGUCAGAUGUGAAAUCCUAGGGCUUAACCAUAGAACUGCAUUUGAAACUGUUAUUCUAGAGUAUGGGAGAGGUAGGUGGAAUUCUUGGUGUAGGGGUAAAAUCCGUAGAGAUCAAGAGGAAUACUCAUUGCGAAGGCGACCUGCUAGAACAUAACUGACGCUGAUGCGCGAAAGCGUGGGGAGCAAACAGGAUUAGAUACCCUAGUAGUC
rnacentral:rRNA from 1 species